ACAACGCUGGCGGCGUGCUUGAUACUGCAAGGUCGAAGAGAACAUUAUCUUCGGAUCAAUAAGUAAUACUGGCGAACGGGUGAGUAACGCAGUAAACAACUUGCCUCAGAGAUUGGGACAACAUUGGGAAACCAGUGCUAAUACCAAAUAAUGCAGCGGGCUCUUCGGAGCACAGUUGUUCAAAGUAGGCUUCGGCUUACACUUUGAGAUAGGUUUGCGUCCGAUUAGUUAGUUGGUAGGGUAAAAGCCUACCAAGGCCCAAGAUCGGUACGCUGGUCUGAGAGGAUGAUCAGCCACACUGGAAUUGAGAUACGGUCCAGACUCCUACGGGAGGCAGCAGUAAGGAAUUUUGCACAAUGGGCGAAAGCCUGAUGCAGCAACGCCGCGUGAACGAUGAACGUUUCUUACGGAAUGUAAAGUUCUGUCGUAUGGGAAGAAAUCUUUCGAAUGUUAAUACCAUUCGUUAAUGACGGUACCAUACAAGAAAGCACCGGCUAACUUCGUGCCAGCAGACCGCGGUAAUACGAGGGGUGCUAGCGUCGUCCGGAUUUACUGGGCGUAAAGGGUACGUAGGCGUUUUCAAUAAGUUCGUAUGUUAAAUAUCUUAGCUUAACUAAGAAAGAUGCAUCCAAAAACUGUUAAAAUAGAGUAUGAGAGAGGAACGCAGAAUUCAUGGUGGAGCGGU
rnacentral:rRNA from 1 species